CACGGGGGGAGCAAGCGUUGUUCGGAAUCACUGGGCGUAAAGGGCGUGUAGGCGGUCAGGUAAGUGAGAUGUGAAAUGCCCCGGCUCACCCGGGGACCGGCAUCUCAUACUGCUUGGCUUGAGUACGGGAGAGGAUGUGGGAAUUCCUGGUGUAGCGGUGAAAUGCGCAGAUAUCAGGAGGAACACCGGUGGCGAAGGCGGUUCUCUGGGCAUUACCUGACGCUGAGGAGCGAAAGUGUGGGGAGCGAACAGG
rnacentral:rRNA from 1 species